GGGAAGAACAAACCCAUAAUUUCCUGGUUCACAUCCAGUUUCUCUUAACAGACAUUUUGUGAGUUGUCCUCUGGGGGCGCAAUGGCAUGAACAGUCUGCAAGAAUCACAAUAGGGAGAUAAUCUGCAACUACUAAGACAAAGAUACUACUAUGCUACAUGGAAGGCUGAUGGAACCCGCUACAUGAUGUUCAUUAACAG